UACGUAGGGUGCGAGCGUUGUCCGGAAUUAUUGGGCGUAAAGAGCUCGUAGGCGGCUUGUCGCGUCGGAUGUGAAAGCCCGGGGCUUAACCCCGGGUCUGCAUUCGAUACGGGCAGGCUAGAGUUCGGUAGGGGAGAUCGGAAUUCCUGGUGUAGCGGUGAAAUGCGCAGAUAUCAGGAAGAACACCAAUGGCGAAAGCAGCUCUCUGGGACGGUACUGACGCUGAGACGCGAAAGCGUGGGGAGCGAACAGG
rnacentral:rRNA from 1 species